AAGUCGUAACAAGGUUUCCGUAGGUGAACCUGCGGAAGGAUCAUUAAUGGAGGUUGUUUGGACGUGGACCGUCCGCCGAAAGGCGAGGCACCCGCCCUCUCACUAUCUACCACUCUGUGAAACCACCUUUCGCUUCGGCAGCUUGGUCGCGCCCCCCUCGAGGGUCGCCCUGUCAGCCUGCCGGAAGCUCCCAUCCAAACCACAUUUUCUGUCAAACGUUUGUGUCUGAAAUUUUGUAAAAAAAGAAAACAAGUUAAAA
rnacentral:misc_RNA from 1 species